AGUGGCGGACGGGUGAGUAACGCGUGAGAAUCUGCCUUGGGGUCGGGGACAACCACUGGAAACGGUGGCUAAUACCGGAUAAGCCGAUUGGUGAAAGAUUUAUUGCCCGAAGAGGAGCUCGCGUCUGAUUAGCUAGUUGGUGAGGUAAGAGCUCACCAAGGCAGCGAUCAGUAGCUGGUCUGAGAGGACGAUCAGCCACACUGGGACUGAGACACGGCCCAGACUCCUACGGGAGGCAGCAGUGGGGAAUUUUCCGCAAUGGGCGAAAGCCUGACGGAGCAAGACCGCGUGAGGGAGGAAGGCUCUUGGGUUGUAAACCUCUUUUCUCAGGGAAGAAGUUCUGACGGUACCUGAGGAAUCAGCCUCGGCUAACUCCGUGCCAGCAGCCGCGGUAAUACGGAGGAGGCAAGCGUUAUCCGGAAUUAUUGGGCGUAAAGCGUCCGCAGGUGGCGAUUCAAGUCUGCUGUCAAAGCACGGGGCUUAACUCCGUAAAGGCAGUGGAAACUGAAUAGCUAGAGUGCCGUAGGGGUAGAGGGAAUUCCCGGUGUAGCGGUGAAAUGCGUAGAGAUCGGGAAGAACAUCGGUGGCGAAAGCGCUCUACUGGACGGCAACUGACACUCAGGGACGAAAGCUAGGGGAGCGAAUGGGAUUAGAUACCCC
rnacentral:rRNA from 1 species